GCAUUAUGGGGUGUUAUCCAAAGCUCCCUGAACUUAAUGGAAAUCUUUCCAUUGACUUCAAUGAGCUUUGGAUCAGGCCCAAUAAGC
rnacentral:pre_miRNA from 1 species